UGGGAAUUCAGACAGUUUAUCUGUAUCAGUAACCUCUUCCUUCCUUGUUGCUCGGUAACGGUCUAUGGUAUGGUCACACUGGAGUUUGUUCAGCUGUUAACAGACAUCAGGGUUGCUUCCAUUUUACCUUUACCCUCAUGAAUAAAGCUUAGAAGAUUUUCGUGCAGAAAUCAUCUGUGGGAGUCCAUUCUGAGUUGUCUUUACUCUCCUAUUGGCCUGUGUCCCCCAGUGUCACCACGUCUUGAUUACACUAGCUAUAAGAAAAUGUCGACAGGGGCAUCUAUGGCCACCUCCAUGUCCUAUCAAGAACUUCAUUACCAAAACUUGUCUUUGGAGAAAUCAGCCCUGAGGAGGUAACUGUGCCUAGGUCUGGGUUUUGUUUCCCAAUUAAUUUGUUUGCCAGCUCAAUCUGGAGUUUUAAGCCACCGUGUAGGUCAGCCACCCCUACGACCCAGGACUUGAGCUCUAGACUUAAGGUGAUUAAGAAGACAUGCGUUUGGGUAAAGAGCAUCCACUGAGAACACCAUGCUCAGAAGCCUGAUCGCCCUCCACUCUCUCGAAAGCCAGACACACUUUAAUUAGAUUUAUACAUUUCAAAGCUGAUACAGUUGU
rnacentral:lncRNA from 1 species